GACGAACGCUGGCGGCGUGCUUAACACAUGCAAGUCGAACGGAAAGGCCCGGCUUUUGUUGGGUGCUCGAGUUGCUAACGUGUGGGUAACACGUGUGUAACCUGCCCUUUACUUUGGCAUAACUUCAGGAAACUGGGGCUAAUACCGGAUAUUACCUCCUGCUCCGCGGUGUGGGGUGGGAAGUUUCGGCGGUUGGGGAUGGACUCGCGGCUUAUCUGCUUGUUGGUGGGGUAGUGGCUUACCAAGGCGUUGACGGGUAGCCGGCCUGAGAGGGUGACCGGCGACAUGGGGCCUGCGAUAAGGCGCAGCAUCCUACGGGAGGAAGCAGUGGGGAAUAUUGCACAAUGGGAGGAAGCCUGAUGCAGCAACGCCGCGUGCGGGAUGACGGCCUUCGGGUUGUAAACAGCUUUCGCCUGUGACGAAGCGUGAGUGACGGUAAUGGGUAAAGAAGCACCGGCUAACUACGUG
rnacentral:rRNA from 1 species